AAGUAAAAAUUUUUUUUGGACUUAGAAAAAAAAAAUUAAAUUUUUAUUCUACGCCCUUAAGGCAUCUGUAACGCGAUUUAAGAUCUGCCGUAAGAU